CCCGAAACAUUUUUGUUCCCCGAAAUUUUAAAAGCUAUUGUGAGUUUCGCCCGAAUGAAAAUUUCACUUCGAAUCAGGAGUGACAGUUCGAAAAAUAGGCACGUUCAGAAAAGUGAGGAGCGCAAUAAAUUCUCCCUCCACUAUAAUGGAAACGGAGAAUGAAAUGGAACGUGCAAGUUCUCUGUUAACUUAAAUAAUACUAUAAUUGAAUUUAGUGCAUCAGUUGUUUGUCGAAAAUACUUACAAUAGAAAUAAAAUUGUGGCUACGCUAGUAAUUCCACUCAUUGUGGCUACCAAUUCUUAAUUGGAUUGUCUAAAACGAAUAAUUUGCACACCUUUUUUUAGACAGCGGAUUUAUUGCGUUCAGAAAAUGAACAGGCCUUAUUGUGAGCUGGGACAAACAUAUGUUUGUUUUGACAAUUGUUAAAUAAGAAUUUCAGGAUAGAAAAUUAAAUUGUUAUUUUUUAUUACUAUUUUGUAAGUAUGCAUAGCAUAGCUCUGCGCAUCUUAUCUGAGGAAGAACAAAUAAUUGAGGAGCGAGCACUUCGAAGGAAUUAGGGGGAUCACUCUAAUCCUUUAGAGAUGCGUGAGUCCUUAUUUCAUCAUUACUACAGGCUUAACAAACCAGCAUUUAAGUAUUUGUUGGAUGUGCUUACCAGCUCUUUACAUUCCGCGAAACAAAAAUUUGCUAUACCACCAAUUGUGAAACUAGCUACAUGUUUACGUUUCUUUGCAGAGGGUGGGUACCAAAAAGGAGUUGGCAAGGACCACGACGUUGGUUUGGCUCAAUCCUCUUUUAGCCUGGUGCUCGCUCAAGUCCUGGAGGUUUUUGAACAAGUACUUUGCGUGCAGUGGAUAAAAUGGCCAACGCAAGAGGAACAACGAAAAAUCGCUCAAGAUUUUUAUACGAAGUACAGGCUACCCGGUGUUAUAGGCUGUAUUGAGGGGACGCAUGUGAACAUCAUAUCUCCUUCAGCAAACAAACAGCUAUUCUAAAACAGAAAGGGAAAUUGUAGUUUGAAUGUUUUACUUGUAUGCGACAGUGAACUAAGGAUUCGCUUCAUUGAUGCAACACAUCCCGAAGCCUGUCACGAUUCAUCCAUUUGGAAUGUUAGUGAUCUCAGAGCAAAAAUGGAGCAGGAAUAUUUACAAACCCAUAGUAAUGUUUGGCUGUUGGGUAACUUUCAAAAAAAUGUCUUUUGAAUUUAUAUUGCUCCUGCAUUAUAACAAAAAACUUGACUUUAAACUUUUCUUAUCUCAAAAAAAUAA